UUUUUUGUUUUUGUUUUUUUAAUUUGUAUUAAAGUGUAUUAUGUAAAACAGAGACAAACAUAGAGCUGUUUAACCAAAGAAGGGAAGGAGACCCUGAAACUGAGACUUCUUUUUCCCUCAAUCCUGCAGUGUCCCCAGGGGGACCUUCCUUUUCUGUGUGACAUAAUUUGGAUUCCUUAGGAGGUAAUCCUUCUAGUUAAAAAUCUUUAAUUACCACUUGCAGAUACACUGCUUUCCUAUCUAAUUUUCUCACCUUUCUUUGUUUUUGUUAUAUGCAAAAGUUUAAAGAACAUUGCAGAUGUGUUCUCUUUAUUAACACUGGACUUCAAACUACUUCCUUCAUCUGAACACUGUCCUCACCAGGAAAUCAACAUAGACCCUGUUUUAGACCCUGUUUAGUAAGAGUGUGCCUUUUAUAAGAAAAAUCUUAAAAAAUACACUCUCUAUGGAGACACUUGUAAUGUAGUUUGAAAUAUUCCCACACAUUUCAAAAUUAAGUAGAUAACUAUAUUUAGAUGUUGGCAAAAGCUGGCCCUAAUUUCUAUAAUAAAAACAGUGUUACAGUUAAAGUAUUAUAUAUUGUUUUCCUUGUUUCUAAUUCUACAAAUUCAUGAAUCGUAAACCUAGUUUGAAAACUGACUCUAGCUCCUCUUUUUCCUUUCUUCAAGCAGAUUAUUUUUGCCAAAGGAAUUCUCACACGGCAUUACAAUAGAACCACAUUCUUCAUUGUAUGUAUUUAAGAUUCUGUGUUGAAAAAUUAUUAACAUAGAAAACACCUUAAAAUUUUAGUUUCAUAAAAGCACAAGAGUGGAAAGCUCAUUUUAAGGAAAAUUUCAUUGAUUAAACUUUAGUAAAGGACCAUUUUCCUAAGAAUUGCAAAGUAAUGCAUUCAGUGUAACAUGUGACUUGAACUGUUUAAAAUUCUUUGUAUCAGAAAGACAUCACCCUCUAAAAUUAUGUAUAUUCAAUAGACCAGUAUUUAUUGUACUUUUUAUCAGAUUAAUCUAAAUAGUAUUACAUAUGUAUGUUCUCUAUUAUCCUAAAAUCAAAAUAAGUAGGAAUUUAUUUUAUUUCAUUCAUGUGAUGAUUUUUCUAUUUGAACAAUCCCCAAGUUAGGUCUAGUCUCUAGAAGUAUUAUUUACAGGCCACAUUUCAUCAGCUAUAUAUCAUUUGUACAAUAAUGUCUCUUGUUUAAUUAAACAUUAUAAACAAUAUUUGACUUAUUUCGGAUACACCAGGAGUUGCAAAAUAAAUAUAACUAGAGAACUAGCAAAAGGUAUGUUGUCAAAAAUUUAUGAAUUAGGAGCCCAUCGUGGUGCAGUGGAAACGAAUCUGACUAGGAACUAUGAGGUUGCAGGUUCGAUCCCUCUUCUCACUCAGUGAGUCAAGGAUCCGGCAUCGCUGUGAGCUGUGGUGUAGGUCGCAGACGAGGCUCAGAUCUGGUGUUGCUGUGGCUGUGGUGUAGACCAGCAGCUACAGCUCCGAUUAGACCCCCAGCCUGGGAACCUCCAUAUGCCAUGGGUAUAGCCCUAAAAAGACAAAAAAAAAAAAAAAUUAUGAAUUAAAUUGAGACAUGGAUUUCUGAAAUAGUAAAUGGUAAAUAGUAAAUGGCCUCUCUUUCCAUUUUUUGCAUAAUAUAUAUUACAUUAAAUAUUUUCUUCUUAUAAUAUCUCAUGAAAAUGUGAAAGCAUAAACAUGCAUAAUGAAAAAUAUACUUAUUCAUCAUUUAUUCAUCAUGUUCCAUAACUUUCAAAAAAAAAAUCUCAAAAAGUCUAUUAUUUCUUUUUCUUUCCGGCUGUAUCCUUCCUCUAUUCUGCCAUCCUCUUGGACUGUCAACCUGCACACUCACACUGUUCUCAGAAAACAUGGUGUUCACUAACUUCUCAAGUUCUGGUAGUGACUAAGACCAAAAACCCAGACUCAGGCAAUCACAGUUCAUGCAGCUGUCACUUGGUGGGUGACGUUUGAAUUUCCUGUCAUUGACUUUGUCAGUGGUUUAAGUUUUGCCCUCAGGAAAAAUUCUAAAUUCCAUACCAUGGAAUAAAAACACUCAAAUCUGUUUGGUUUCUACAGAAUUAUUCAGUCUUAUCUCCAUCUUACCCUCCUCUGCCCCUUUCCUCUCUCUGGCGCCCAAAUAGCUUACAAUUCCAAACAGCUCUUCAUCACCUGUGCUCUUUAUGGUUGCUUAUUUCCUCCAUUUCCUUUUAGUUUUUCCUUGUGCUUCAUGUACACCAAAAAUCUGACAAUAUUGAUACCAAUAUUGGAUGUCCCUUCUGAGUGUUCCAAUCGUGUACCUGUCAUAGGGCUUAUGACUCUGUGUGGAAAUUACCUGUUCAUUUAUUUUUCCAGUUUAUACCAUGAAAUUCUUCAGGGUGGCUUGUGUCACCUCCCACUUGUAAUUCCAAUACAUAUCACAGUAUCUUAGCACAUGGCUGUUGAGUAAAGGAAUGAGGAAUGAGAAAACCAUAAACUCUGAUACUCAGCCUCAAAAGCAGUUAGCUCAGCAAACAACCACAGGGAGCAAAUGAUAAAAUAAUCAUUGUGUAUUUUGUGUUGUAGUCAAAUAUAGAUAUUUUUCAUUCUUCUCAACAUUUGGAAAGAUGUCAGCUAUUCUUACCUAACUUAUUUCAUUAACUAGGAUAUAUUUUAAAUGAAGAAUUCUUCCUUUUUUUCUCCAGGUGAAUUUGAAUCUGGCUCCAAUGGAGAUUCUGCUCCAAGAUCUACUGAUGAUCCAUUUGUGAAAGCAAUCCCAAGGAUAUGUAAAAAUUUUGAAGAAAAAAUAUAAUUAUAUGAUCUGAAAGAUGAAUAGUAAAAAUUUAUCUACUGCACUGUUUAUAUAACAUUCUAGUUGUUUCCCUUUAAACAGGAUGUGAAAAUCUUUAUUAAAGGAAAAUAUUUUUGUAUCACAUGUGUAUGAUGAGAAUUUAUGUAUAUUUUAAACUGUUUCUCUGUAACCAACUUACUUUUAAGCAGAUUUUGAGAAUAAAAACCAGCACUGUUGAGUUUUACAUACUCCAACUGAGCCCAGAUACUAGCUGUCUAAUCAGCACCCAAACAACCAAACUUGUCAUUAAUAUUUAGCAGCAUUGAUUAGAUGGCUUUCUUGUAGUUUCUGGUGUUAAUUGCUAUAUAUAAACCUAAAAAUUUAGAUGGACAUCAUUUGAAUGUACUGCCACCGUGGCUGUGUUUUGAUAUAUUGUCAAUAUUUUGAUAUAUUACAAUUGUUAGAGAACCAUAAAACUCAUUCUGUAUAACUUUAAACCCUGAUACAUAAUUUUUUUUUUGUCUUUUGUCUUUUUAGGGCCACAUCCACAGCCUAUGGAGGUUCUCAGGCUAGGGGUCGAAUCAGAGCUACAGCAGCUGGCUUACGGCAGAGCCACAGCAAGGUGGGAUCCGAGCCAUGUCUGUGACCUACACCACAGCUCAUGGCAACGCCAGAUCCUUAACCUACUGAGCAAGGCCAGCGAUCGAACCCACAUCCUCAUGGAUACUAGUCAGGUUUGUUAACCACUGAGCCAUGAUGAGAACACCUAUACAGAACUUUCUUCAUGGAACAAUAAGAUAUACCUAAAGCUUUUCUCCUUUUCUAUUUAUUUUUUAACUUACUUUUUGGAAACAGUUUUAAAAUGAGAAAUUUUCUGAGCACCUGACUCAAACAGACAUCAGCACCAAACUACCAUAUCUCCCAUAUAUUUAAGUUACCAUUUAAAUUUCCUAUGUGUCCUUUGUUCUCCCAUAAAGACUUUCUCUCCCCAUUACCAGGUCAUUUGUUUUUCAGAAAAUGCCUUUCUCUUACUCCUUGCUACUUACUAAAUACUACUUAAACCCCCAAUUCUAACGCUUUAACAUCAUAUUUCUUUGUGAACAUCUGCAUAUAGACAUAUGUAAUUAAAUGUUUUUUCUCAGAGUAAUCUGCUUUUGUCUAUUUAAUUUGCAAUUUCCCAAUCACUGAAACCUAAGAGGGUAGAGAAAAUAUUUUGCUUCCCCACAAAUCCAAGAAUUAAGAUAUUAAUAACUCUUACUUACAUUCUCUAUUCCCUUUUCUUUCUGUUUUCUCAGUGUACUUGGCAAAACCCCCACUACACAAGAGAUUGAUAAUCAUAUCCCCCCCCACUUAUUUUCACCCAGGCAUCUAUGUGCUGCUGAAGAAAAUCAGGCACCUGCCCAAUGAGCCUACUACUUUUAUUUGCAUCUUCAUUCUUCAGAUAAUGAAUUAAAAUCUCCUCUCUCUAUAAAUGUCUCACCCUGUUUCUCUCCAAUGCCCUGCCCCAGCUACAGGGGCAGAGGAUGCUGUGACCUGCCCUCCUCCUGCCACUUUUGAAGAGUGGAGGGGUUUGGCUGGUUGGGUGAACCUGGUGGCACAGAGAGUGGUGGCAGAGCUGAGUGCACAGGGCUGCACAUUCCGGGCCCCCAGGGGCUACCAUGGACCUAGCACUCCCGGCUCCCUGAUGCUCUUGUUCUGCCUGCGGCCCUGGGCCACACUGCCAUGCACUUCUAGUGUGUGCUGUGCACAGCACCCACCCAAUGACACAGCCACCAACAAAAGAAAAUAUCUUUGUAUGUAACAUUAUGGAUUGGAAGAUGAGGAAAGGGGGUUUCUAUUAUUAAAGCACAUGAUGUUCGCUGAACAUUACUGUGUAUAUGUGCUCCUGUGUAUAUGCAUGUUGUGUGUGUGUGCGUGUGUACAUGCAUGCAUGUACACACACACACAGCAUGCGUGCGUGCGCACACACACACACACACACACACACAAGCAAGUUAUGGACACUAUAACCACCAUUUGACCCUAAAGGGAAACUGUGACCCAGGAAUUAAUGGCAUAAAGGAUUCAUUCAGUAGAAAAAUAAUCUAAAUCACCUUAUCCAUCCAUUUAUCAACUUUUCAAUUAUUAAGAAAUAUUUUCUGCGAACUUCCAAUAUUUAAGAACUUGGAAUGUUAUGAGGAUUAAACUGUAAAUUAUGCAAUGUCUCUUCAUAGAGCUCUAUAUUCUAAUGCAGGCAGUAAAAAUAAACUGCAGAAACAAAAUUUAUGAUAUUAAAAUAGCAUAUGAUUAUACAUUGUAUAAUUACAAAAUAUCAUUACCAUUGUUCAAGAAAAUGUUGGCACCUCAUAAGAUAAAAGUGACAUUUAAAAUAUUUUCAAUUCUGGAGUUCCCCUUGAGGCACAGUAGGUUAAGGAUCCAAUGCUAUCUCUCUGAGGAUGCAGGUUCAAUCCAUGGUCUCACUUAGUGGGUUAAGGAUCUAGCAUUAUUGCAAGCUGCAGCAGUGUAAGUCACAGAUGUGGCUCAGAUCUGGGGUUGCAGUGGCUGUGGCAGCUGCAGCUCUGAUUUGCCCCUAGCCCAGGAACUUUCAUAUGCCACAGGUAGGGCCAUAAAAAGAAAAAAAAAGAAGAAACAUUAUCAAUUCUGGAACUUCAGAUAUAUUUUUAGAAAGACUGGUUAUUAAAAAUAUUUUACAAAAUUCUGAAUCUUGGAAAAGUUAUUCUGCUUGAACUGGUAUGCAAAGCUGGAUUUCCUUUCUUAGGAUCUGGGUUUGCUAUUCUGAAAUAAGUACUUUUAAGACAAGUACUACCUUCUGAAAUCUAGACACUUGAAAAUCAAUAAUGAUUUUUAUCAGAAUAGAAAAUCUGCUGUACAUGCUUCUUAUGAUUCCUUUCAUCAUCCAUUUUCUUUGGGUUACCAUUUUAAAGGUUCCCCAUUUUGUUCUUUACAUUGGACUCCUCAUUCCCCCCUUUUUUUUGAUAAUCAAAAAAAAUCCAGAAUAAUACAUUAUUAUCAUGUAAACCAGAAUUUAUGAAUGCAUUAUAGGCUAUAUACAAAAUUGACAAAUUUGAACUUAAAUGUAUUCAUAAGUAUAAAAGAGCAAUUAAAAAUGCAUCUAUCUAUGUAUUGUUAUUGUGCAAUAAUGCCGCUUAAAAAAAUGUACACCAG
rnacentral:lncRNA from 1 species